rnacentral:rRNA from 1 species
GAUGAACGCUGGCGGCGUGCCUAAUACAUGCAAGUCGAGCGAACAGACGAGGAGCUUGCUCCUCUGACGUUAGCGGCGGACGGGUGAGUAACACGUGGAUAACCUACCUAUAAGACUGGGAUAACUUCGGGAAACCGGAGCUAAUACCGGAUAAUAUAUUGAACCGCAUGGUUCAAUAGUGAAAGACGGUUUUGCCGUCACUUAUAGAUGGAUCCGCGCCGCAUUAGCUAGUUGGUAAGGUAACGGCUUACCAAGGCAACGAUGCGUAGCCGACCUGAGAGGGUGAUCUGCCACACUGGAACUGAGACACGGUCCAGACUCCUACGGGAGGCCGCAGUAGGGAAUCUUCCGCAAUGGGCGAAAGCCUGACGGAGCAACGCCGCGUGAGUGAUGAAGGUCUUCGGAUCGUAAAACUCUGUUAUUAGGGAAGAACAAAUGUGUAAGUAACUAUGCACGUCUUGACGGUACCUAAUCAGAAAGCCACGGCUAACUACGUG